AGCAGAUGCUGGUGCCAUGCUUAUACAGGCUGCAGAACCGUGAGCCAAAAAAACCUCUUUUCUUUAUAAAAAUUACCCAGCCUCAGGUUAAAAUUCUGACUCUGCUGCUUCAUUGAUGUAUGACUUUGGACAAGUUACUUAAUCUCUUUGGGCUCUGGUUUCCCCCAGCCCUAAAAUGAGGAUACCAGUAUUCCUUGUGGAGUCAUCUAAAGGCUUAAUACUGGUGAUUUACUGUUCUUUUGGUGGAACAUCCAAAGGGCUGCACUUCAAUAAUUUAAUAGUUGGACUUGUCCUCCUUACAAGAGGCAAAGAUGAAGAGAAAGCAAAAU
rnacentral:lncRNA from 10 species